AACGCACCUUGCGCCCUUUGGCCAUUCCGAAGGGCAUACCUGUUUGAGUAUCAUGAACACCUCAACUCUCAUGGCUUGCCAUGACGAGCUUGGACUUUUGGGGGUCUUGCUGGCCUGUGGUCAGCUCCUCUCAAAUGAAUCAGCUUGCCAGUGUUUGGUGGCAUCACGGGUGUGAUAAACUAUCUACGCUUGUGGUUUUCUACCAGGUAACCUUCAGUGAUGGAGGUUCGCUGGGGCUCACAAAUGUCUCUCCUCAGUGAGGACAGCUCUUGAACAUUUGAUCUCAAAUCAGGUAGGACUACCCGCUGAACUUAA
rnacentral:misc_RNA from 2 species